rnacentral:lncRNA from 1 species
UUAGAAUAUUUCCUGCAUUUUGACUCAAAUUUAUAAAUACUAAUUAAAUGCAUUAAUGUUGAAGCAUGUUAUGAAAUAUGUAACUUCCCCUUUGUUCUUGAGAGAGCAGACAAAAGCCAUGUCUCAGUCUGUUUGGGCUGCCAUAAAAAAUAUCUUAGACUGGGUAAUUUGUAAACAACAACAACAGCAGAUUGCUUACAGUUCUGGAGGCUGGGAAGCCCGAGACAGAGGUGGCAGUAUGGAGAUAGUUUGCAAGGAAUUACCUGAAACUAUACUAAUGAUAUUCUUCCCAUUAACAAGUUGCAUUCUGAGAUCUCUCAUAAUCAAAAUUUAGUUAUGCAUUUGCAUGAACUUUGUGGAGCUAUAAUCUGAUACAAAGAAGAAAACAGGAGCUACCAGAGAAAAUAUGACAUUUUAGAAAAAUGUUUCACUC